rnacentral:lncRNA from 1 species
CAGAAAUUUGGCCCACAACUACUUGUCAGGCCCUCUACCUGACUUAAGUGGAAUGAAUUCCCUCAAUUAUGUGUGAGUAUAUCAUUUCUAGAGUUUCAAUAUUCCUGCAAAUUGUUUGUUUUUCUGUUGUACUGACAAAUCCUAAUGUUUCUCUCAGAGACCUUAGCAACAACUCAUUUGACCCAUCAGAAGCUCCACUUUGGUUCUCAACCUUACCCUCACUCACCACUUUGUAAGUUCUCAGGAGGUUGUAUAAAAGUCUUUGUAUCUCUUCACAAGUCUAAGAAAAGGAAACUUUGAAAACUUUAUUUGAAAUCCUUUGUUAAACUUCUCUCCUUUUAUGGCACACAGGACCAUGGAAUUUGGAUCACUUCAAGGGGUUGUGCCAGAGAAGCUUUUCAGCCUUCCAAAUUUACAACUAGUGUAAGUUCCAGGGAGAACACUCAAGAAUAUAUGCAUCAAAGUUUUCACUGUAAAUUUAUGAAACUGAUCAUUUCUUUUAAACUCUUGAUAGGAAGCUCAAAUACAAUGCGUUUAAUGAUACGUUGAACAUGGGCGAUAGCAUCAACCCACAACUGCAGCUUGUUGAUCUGCAGAACAAUCAGAUUUCCAGAAUAAGUCUGGGUUAUGAAUACAAAAAUACAUUAAUGUGAGACAGUUGAUGGGCCUUGAUCUUGAUUUCCUAUGAUAAUUGUGUAUUUUCCCCUCACCAUCACUCUUGGUUGUCACUUUUACAUGUUGCAGACUUUUCGGGAACCCGGUUUGCAGCAGCAGUUCUGGUGCAUCAAAUGCUACUUUCUGUCAGCCUCCUCGUCAAACUACAAAAUCGUAAAUGGUCAAGAUGAGAGCUUUUGGCCAACUUGUGGAAAAUGGUGCAAAAGUGGGGAUGCCUGUGUAGCUUCAUCUAAGUUCUUCCAAUCCAAGUCAAGUCAAUAUUGUAAAAAUGGAGAAUCAUUCUCUCUCCUUGAUAUCCCAUUUGUUCUUUCUUUACAUGUGAUCAGAUUUUAAUUGGUGAAGCUUCUUCUAUCAAACAAGCCAAUGUCAUGAAAUCGUGCUUUGAAAAGUUCCGCAUGCAAACGCCUCAGCCCAACUGGCUAACUUUUAAAAAGUCAAGAUUUCUUGUUCCCAUUAGGCCAUAGAGUCUUGUGGCCCCACCGGUGUAUGUUGUUUACUUUGACACAUUCUCUCUGAUAGUCUGCCUUUCGUCUUCAACGCCAUGAAUGAAGCGUGAACCCUCAAGAAACGAAACCAACCCACAUGCAAAUAUGUCCUGAUCAUACAUGCGCAUUGUAAAAUAUGUCAACUCUAAAUCCCCACCAACAGUAGCGACAGCCACAUUAAAUCCAUUAAUCUUUUAUUUUUUAAUAUAUAUUUUUUAAAUAUGUCAUCUUCGGCCUUUCAUGUUGUAUAGAUGUUAUCUGAAAAUGCCUCGAUACAACUUAAGGAGAUACCCAAUUGAAUUGUUUCAUAGGAUUCAUAACAUUCUAUUAGCUUUGGGAUUGCCCUCUCAACGUAAUUAGGUCAAACUCACUAUUGAAGGCACUAGGAAAGGAAGGAUACUGAAUUCAGCAAUUGGAAUUGGAGAAGCUGUAAGAUAUCAUAAUUAUUGUUCAUGGUUGGUUUUGCUACUGUAAUUUUAGGUGUGCCAGAUGUAGGCCAAGCUACGUUUGCUUUGGGAUACAAAGGAUUCUUUUCCAUCCGAAUUGAAGUAGAAUUUGUCCCAAUGUGUCCCCUAAGAAGGGGACAAUCUAACACAAAAUCUCGGAUUUAAAUGCUUUUAAUCAAUUGAGUUGUUGAAUAUUAAGUCUUUGAUUGAUAUAGCUCACAUUUUUUAUGGAUUUGGUAAAACUUCAAUUGAAAUUUUUAUUGGUAUGGCUAGACGGCAAUUUGUGGUUUGUUUUCUUAUUAACCUUUGACCCCUUAGCACAAAAACUAUACUUUAUCUUUUGUAGAAUAAACUUAGUUGUAUUUAGAAACAGUCGUACCAUAGAAGUUGACUGUUCGAAUUAUAUUUUUGUUUUGUGAAAACAAUCAUCAUGUAGAUCUCAUCUUAAAUCAAAUGCUUGAAUACCAAGUAAAACAAAGGAAAAGACCCUACCUACCACCAUAAAAAAUGGCCUCACCUGCCACCACCUAGUGAGGCAAAACAUUGAGUUACAAAGGUCUUGUCUUUAUCCAUUUCUUACGAAAAUGAAAAUCUUUUCAUCCAUUCAACACGAAAGUGGAUCAAACCAUGAAUUGGUCCCGGCCACGCCCCCGAGAGCCUUGAUUUUCAUGUCAGCUUGUGGGACCCAUUUUCACCUAAAGCCAACUGUACGCAUUGAAUGACCUAGUUAAAUUAUAUCAAUGCAAGUUGGAACUUAAUUAAUUAAUUAAAAUUUGAUUAAAAAGUGGAGACUCUAGGCGUAUAUUCAGAAUUGUGUAGCUUUGUCCCCAUUCGAAAGAUGCUAGCUUUGCUCAUGAGAGAGUUGUUUCUGCUUAACUGUUGUUUGUAUUAUGUGACUUGUCCUCUGAAAAUGCGCGGGCGGGCGGAGGAAACGGUAAAACCUCCACAUUUUUUUUUUUUUUUUUGCUGCAAUAAGAUGAUUUUGAUAGAGGAAAGAUGAUGAUGUUUUUUUGGACUUUGUGUGAUGAUUUCGGUUGGUGGGUUUUUUUUGCUAGUGGAAGGUGCUUAUUGUUAAGGCCAAAGGUUGGCUUCUAAGACAAGGCUUAAUCAUUUAAAAGAAGCUCAAAGGGGCCAACCCAAAUCUUUUUCUGUUCUCUCUCUCUCUAUCUCUCUAUCUCUCUCUGCGUGCCUGCAAGUAUUUUUUGAAGACAGUUGAAAAAACCCGACUCACCAAAUCAAGCUUUCAAAGCAAAACUUGUUCUGAAUUGGUGGGAACAUGUACAUGCGCAUGUACAUACAUGCAUGCAUGCUGUCAAGGACUCAUUAAAUAAAAAUCUUCAAGUGGUGUAGUUGGUAGAAUGGAAGGAAUUGAAUUGAAGGGUGUGUCUGUGUGGAGGGAAGUCUUUGAAAAGUGCUUUUUUGACCAUCUGGGGUAAAUAGAAAUGUGCUUUUUUUGACCUCUGCUUACUAGCUGAUCAGCCUCACAGAGGCACCAGUUUACUUGAUUUGCUUGCUCCUUCACCACCAUGGCAACCAUGCGGUUGCUGCUCUUUCUGGCUUUCUGCUCUGCUGGGAUUCAUAUGAUCUUUUCUGAAACAGACCCCGGUGAUGGUAUGGUCUCAAAUCUAAAUGUUUAUUUGUCCAUUAUUGAUUUCCUAGUUAAUGGGAAAUUGGGGUUUUGGUAGUUUGAGCUUUGGCCUGGAUAUGCGUUGACUUAGGAAAGACUUUGCAAUAUCAUGUUGAUCCUCCUGUUUCUCAUGUUUUUGCAUGCAAACUUGGUAAUUAGUCAUUUUAGUUGGUGUUUAAUGCAAGCUUUUCUUAAUGUUUUGGCUAAAUUUUGAUUGUAAGUUGAAUAUCCUGCACAUAGGUGUGUACAAACUUUGUGUUAAGGUAGUAGAUUGAUUUGUAAGUCUGUUGGUCCAGCUGCUGUUUUCAUAUCCUUGAAGGGGGCAUGGACGAAUCUUCCACCCAGCUGGAACGACAAGUCAAAUGAUCCCUGUGGAAUGAACUGGGAAGGAGUCACCUGCAACAAUUCGAGGGUGACCGCAUUGUGAGCAUUGUUCAUCUUUGAAUUUUCAUGGGAUCCUUGUAGUUCUGGGCAUUGGUGACUUACUUUCUUACACAAAUUUUCAACCUUGCACUUUUUUAUGUGCAGGGGAUUAUCAGCAAUGGACUUGAAAGGACAAAUUGAAGGCGAUAUCGGGGGACUCUCUGAAUUAAUAUCCUUGUGAGUAUAAUUGCUCCUCUUUGUACCAGCAUUAUGUUUGCAGCACAUUAUGAAUUGAACCCAGAUGCAAUGCAACAGAUUCAGUAUGUAAACAUAUGCAUAAAACAUAUUUCUUUUGCAGUAUCAAUUAUUUUGUUAUCACUCAAUCUUUGAUUAGCAUGGCAUCCUUUUUGUAACGAAGUAGAAACGUUAACAUUGCAGGGACCUUUCAUUCAACAAAGGCCUCACGGGUUCUCUGUCUCCACGAUUAGGAGAUCUGAGCAAGUUAAAUAUCCUGUAAGAACAAAUUAGCAAGCAAUUUUCAUAUUUGCACCUUUUGAACUUUGUAUAUGCAAUAUAAGUUUUUAUAUUGGAUAAGUAUACAAGACUCUUUUCAUCUUUUAGGAUCCUAGCUGGCUGCGGCUUCAGUGGCAAUAUUCCAGAGGAAUUGGGCAAUCUUGGAGAGCUAACUUUCUUGUAAGAAUUGAAUUGAUAAUCAUACUGUUAGUGCAAACCAUUUUAAGUUUUUUCUUUCCCAACUUUAUAUAAAUCUUUUGUUCUUUUCAGGGCUCUGAAUACAAAUAAAUUUACUGGUCAAAUACCUCCUUCUUUGGGUAACCUCUCCAAUCUUCUCUGGUUGGACCUGGUAGACAAUCAGUUGACUGGAACUCUACCAAUUUCAACCCCCGUUACCUCAGGCUUAGACAAACUAUUGAAGGCUGAACACUUGUGAGUAUUUUUCCAUUUCCCAAACUCUCUUCAUUGUGAAAAGAUGAAAUUCUAAUAGGGAUUAUGCCAUUGCUUAUUGCAUAAACAUUAAACUGAUAAUAUGGACAUGCAGCCAUUUCAGCAAGAACCAGCUUUCAGGUACCAUUCAUCCCAAACUUUUCAGCUCUGAGAUGAAACUGAUACACAUGUAAGUUGAUCCCUUCGAUCAUUUUUUUAAUUUAGCCAGAUGCCAUCUAUCAGUUUAUGUUCUGUACUUAUAUUUAUCUAACUGCUUGUCAUUCUUCAACUGCAGUUUGUUUGAUGGAAAUCAAUUUAUUGGGGAGAUUCCAUCAACCAUAGCACUAGUUCAGACUCUUGAGAUUCUGUGAGUACAAAAACAGCUCGAUUUUGUUAUUCUUUCACAUAUAAGUUUCUGCUUCUUGAUACUUAUUGGAUUCAAAACCUUCUUGUUUGCAACAGUCGGCUUGAUAGAAAUGCUCUGACAGGAAAUGUCCCCUCAAAUAUCACCAACCUAACACAUGUCAAUGAACUGUGAGUAUCAAGUCUCUAAGAGGAUAUUCUAAUGUGCUGUUAACAGUUACCUUAAUUAUUCUUAAUCAUCUUUUACAUGAGUUUUUGUUCUCUUCCAGAAAUUUGGCUCACAACAAAUUGACAGGCCCUUUACCUGACUUAACUGGAAUGAGGUCCCUCCUUACUGUGUGAGUAAGAUGGCAUGGAGCUGUCAUUUCAAGUUUCAAGUUUCCUGCAAGUUGUUCUUUUGUUGUACUGAUAAAUCCUAAUGAUUUUACUCCAGAGACCUGAGUAACAACUCAUUUGACCCAUCAGAAGCUCCACUUUGGUUCUCAAACUUACCCUCAAUCACCACUAUGUAAGUCCUUAGGAGGUUACACAAAAAUGUGUUAGUAUCUAUGAAUGAGUCUUGGAAAAGGACACCCUGAAAACUUUGUUGUAAUUUUUUGUUGAAAUUCUCUACUUUUAUGGAACACAGCGUUUUAGAAUUUGGAGCACUUGAAGGGACUGUGCCAGAGAAAAUGUUCGGCAUCGCAUCAUUGCAGCAAGUGUAAGUUUAAGGAGAAUACUGAAGAAAGCUUCAAGUUUUGACUGUAAUUUUAGGAAACUUGCCAUUCAUGUUUUUUUCUAACCCUUGACAGGAAACUGAAAAACAAUGCGUUUAAUGAUACAUUGAACUUGGGUGAUAGCAUCAGUCCACAACUGCAGCUUGUUGAUCUGCAGAACAAUCAGAUUCCUAAAAUAACUCUGGGUUAUGAAUACAAACAUACAUUAAUGUGAGACAGUUCAUGGGCCUUGAUCUUGAUUUUCUAUGGUUGUGUAUUUUUCAACACCAUUCUUAGUUGUCAUUUUUAAAUAUUGCAGACUUGUAGGGAACCCAGUUUGCACCAAUGGAACUAGCUCAAAUUCAUUCUGUCAGCUUCCGCAACAAGAUACAGAAACGUAUACUACUAGCUCAAAUUGUGCACGCAUUACAUGCCCCGAUAAUCAGAAGCUCAGCCCUCAGAGUUGUCAAUGUGCAUAUCCUUUUGAAGGAACAUUGUAUUUCAGAGCACCCUCUUUCAGGGAAUUGUCAAAUGUGAAUAUGUUUCACGCACUAGAAAUGAGUCUAUGGGAUAAACUUGGCCUCACUCCUGGUUCAGUUUCUCUUGAAAACCCUUUCUUCGACAUUAAUGACUAUCUUCAAAUUCAGCUGGCACUCUUUCCACCUACAGGAAUGUAUUUUAAUAGGUCAGAGAUUAUAAGGAUUGGUUUUGAUUUGAGCAACCAAACUUACAAGCCACCGGAGGAGUUUGGACCCUAUUAUUUUAUUCCAGCUCCUUAUACUUUCCCAGGUAAUUUAAAUCGCAUCGUUACUUCGUAUGCCAUUUCCCUGCAUUAGAAGAUUGAUUAAACUGACAAUAAAAACCCAAAAUUGUUUCAGGUGGGAAUAAAAGUUCUAUGAGCACUGGUGUUAUUAUUGGGAUAUCAGUUAGUUGUGUAGUUCUUGUACUGGGCCUCGUGGUAGUGGGAAUAUAUGCCAUUAGGCAAAAGAAACGUGCAGAAAGAGCCAUUGGAUUAAGCCGACCUUUUGGUAAUUAAUUAUUCUUGUUGUUUAUGAUUGGAUACAUUGAAAUUCUGUCAUUGACAUUAGAAGUUGGUUUGCUUAUAUCACUCCUUUUCUCUAUCUUCUAGCUUCUUGGGCACCAAGCGGAAAAGACAGUGGUGGUGCACCACAGUUAAAGGGAGCAAGAUGUUUUUCUUUUGAUGAGCUUAAGAAAUGCACAAAUAAUUUCUCUGACAGUAAUGAGAUAGGAUCUGGUGGAUACGGGAAGGUAUAUUAAUUCAAGUAUUUCAGUAACAUCUAUGAAAUUCUGCUUCAAGUUAAAGGAUGUUUUUUUUUUUCACCUUUUGGUUGGUUGUCCAUAGGUUUACAGGGGCAUGCUUUCUGAUGGACAAGUGGUGGCAAUCAAAAGAGCUCAGCAAGGAUCAAUGCAGGGUGGCCUUGAGUUCAAGACUGAAAUCGAGUUGCUCUCGCGAGUUCAUCACAAAAAUGUUGUUGGCCUUUUGGGAUUUUGUUUUGAACAAGGAGAACAGAUGCUGGUUUAUGAGUUUAUGCCUAAUGGAACACUCAGGGAAAGCUUGUCAGGUUAGUUCAAAGAUUUUACUCUCAGCUAUUUCAUAUUGCAUAGAGAUAACUUGUUUGCAAUAGACAUAGUUACCAACUUCACCUUUGCUUAAAUAUGAAUUGCAGGGAGAUCUGGUAUUCAUCUUGAUUGGAAGAGGAGACUCCGCAUCACUCUUGGCUCGGCAAGAGGACUAGCUUACCUACAUGAGCUUGCAAAUCCUCCUAUAAUUCACAGAGAUGUCAAGUCCACCAACAUUCUAUUAGACGAACAUUUAACUGCGAAGGUUGCAGAUUUUGGCUUGUCCAAGCUGGUAGCUGACGGUGGAAAAGGGCAUGUCUCAACUCAGGUCAAAGGCACACUGGUAAGCUUUACGUUAUUAGCAUUUCAACAUAUAUUCAUCCCAUUGACACAUUCUUGAGUUUUUACUCUUUAAGUUUCUGUUUUGUUCUUGCAGGGAUAUCUUGAUCCUGAAUACUACAUGACUCAACAGUUAACUGAGAAGAGUGAUGUAUACAGCUUUGGAGUGGUGAUGCUUGAAUUGAUAACGGCUAGGCAGCCUAUUGAGAAGGGAAAAUACAUCGUCCGUGAGGUAAGAUUGAUGAUGGACAAGAAUGAUGAAGAACACUAUGGUUUGAGGGAGUUAAUGGAUCGAAGCAUUCGAAACUCUGGAACCCUUAUUGGGUUUGGGAGGUUCCUGGAGCUGGCCCUGCAAUGCGUUGAAGAAUCAGCUGCAGACCGCCCCACAAUGAGUGAGCUUGUGAAGGCUAUUGAAACCAUUCUGCAGAAUGAUGGCAUGAACACAAACUCAACGUCAGCAUCUUCAUCAGCCACAGAAUUUGCAGCAUCAAAAGGAGCUCCUAAGCAUCCAUACAACGAUGGCUUGCCGAAAAAGGAAGUGAAUGACAGCACUGGUGCCUUUGAUUACAGUGGUGGAUACGCAGUUUCGGCGAAGAUUGAACCCAAGUAGUAGCAAAGGCCUGCAGCAGAGUUAAUUUCUUCUUUUGUAAUUGUACCUUCUCUUCUCUAUCCAUAUAUGUAAGUAGAUACAGGAAAAGAAUAUAUAGUGGUCUGUCAUUUCAAUUGCCAAAUAGAAAUUUAGUGUGUUAUGUUACAAUGUUCCUAUGGGCUUCAAACUCGAAUGCUACAAAGUUUUUCUUAUUUUUAAUUUUAUUUUUUGGAUUGGGUGCAAGGAAGUUCUAGUAAGACCUGAAAGAAGGCAUCAAAAUU